GACGAACGCUGGCGGCGUGCCCAAUACAUGCAAGUCGAGCGGACUUUCAAGAAGCUUGCUUUUUGAAAGUUAGCGGCGGACGGGUGAGUAACACGUGGGCAACCUGCCUGCAAGACGGGGAUAACUCCGGGAAACCGGGGCUAAUACCGGAUAAUAUCUUCCUUCGCAUGAAGGAAGGUUGAAAGGCGGCGCAAGCUGCCGCUUGCAGAUGGGCCCGCGGCGCAUUAGCUAGUUGGUGAGGUAACGGCUCACCAAGGCGACGAUGCGUAGCCGACCUGAGAGGGUGAUCGGCCACACUGGGACUGAGACACGGCCCAGACUCCUACGGGAGGCAGCAGUAGGGAAUCUUCCGCAAUGGACGAAAGUCUGACGGAGCAACGCCGCGUGAGCGAAGAAGGUCUUCGGAUCGUAAAGCUCUGUUGUCAGGGAAGAACAAGUACCGUUCGAACAGGGCGGUACCUUGACGGUACCUGACCAGAAAGCCACGGCUAACUACGUG
rnacentral:rRNA from 1 species